rnacentral:misc_RNA from 1 species
AUGUGAAUGAGAUGCAGCCCACAGUCAUAGAUUCUUCCACACAUUUAAAGGGCACAGCUAUGGCGUAGUGAGCUCAAACAGAAACAUAAAUAUUACCGCCCCACCCCAUAAAUAAAGAAAAGAAAGAAAAAUGAGAUGAUGUAUGCUCUCUUACGUUUAUUCAGUUUUUCAAAAGAUUGUCCAAUUGAGCUCUUUUUCCAACCGAGAGUAUGAUGACGUCCUAAGUGAUUAUUCCAACUUUGACUACAAGCAAUCCAUACCAGAUAGUUA